UACGUAGGCAGCAAGCGUUGUUCGGAGUUACUGGGCGUAAAGGGUGCGUAGGCGGCUUUUUAAGUUUGGUGUGAAAUCUCCCGGCUCAACUGGGAGGGUGCGCCGAAUACUGAGAGGCUAGAGUGUGGGAGAGGAAAGUGGAAUUCCUGGUGUAGCGGUGAAAUGCGUAGAUAUCAGGAGGAACACCGGUGGUGUAAACGGCUUUCUGGACCAUAAACUGACGCUGGAGGCAACGAAAGCGUGGGUAGCAAACAGG
rnacentral:rRNA from 1 species